GAUGAUAGUUAUGUGUUGCCUCUGAACUGGAGAGGGACCCCCGUGAAGAUGUCCUGCCUAGUGUCCCAGGCUCAGGCCCUGGCCCCCUCCUCCCUCUGCUGCUCGUCUCAGGGAAUGACUGUCAGACUGCAAGUUCAUGGAGCCAAAGAGGAGCUCCGAGUCCAGGUUAGAGGAAAAUGGACACCACUGCUUUCGCUGGCCCUGCAGUGUGGCUACAGUAUGGACAGGCAACAUGGAGAGCUGCUCAUAUCUGCACCCUUCACUACCUGUGGGAUCACAUCAAAGGUUGAUGGUGGAGUGCAGGUCUUCUCCUGGUUCUUCAGGGAGGGUGAGGUACCAGGUGAGGAACACCACCCCUAG
rnacentral:lncRNA from 8 species